rnacentral:sRNA from 1 species
CGAAGAGCCAGCUGCCUCUGGCCGCAUCAUCUGUCACAGUUACCUGGAGAGGCUCCUGAAUGUUGAGGUGCCCCAGAAAGUUGGUUCUGAGCAGAAGGAACCCCCCGAGGAGGCUGAGCCUGUGGCAGUAGCUGAGCCAGAGGUCCCUGAGAACAACGGAAAUAACUCGUGGCCCCACAAUGACACGGAGAUUGCCAACAGCACACCCAACCCGAAGCCUGCAGCCAGCAGCCCGGAAACACCCUCUGCAGGGCAGCAAGAGACCAAGACGGACCAAGCAGAUGGACCCAGAGAACCACCGCAGAGUGCCAGGAGGAAGCGCAGCUACAAGCAGGCGGUGAGUGAGCUGGACGAGGAGCAGCACCUGGAGGAUGAGGAGCUGCAGCCCCCCAGGAGCAAGACCCCUUCCUCACCCUGCCCGGCCAGCAAGGUGGUGCGGCCCCUCCGGACUUUUCUGCACACAGUGCAGAGGAACCAGAUGCUCAUGACUCCGACCUCAGCCCCACGCAGCGUCAUGAAGUCCUUUAUUAAGCGCAACACUCCCCUGCGCAUGGACCCCAAGUGCAGCUUCGUCGUAAGUAAAGCCUUUUCCUGUUGGUAACCUCGCCCCACCUAGCACUUACCCGCUGUAGCCCCUUCCCUGCGUAGCUGACAGCACCUGUAGAUGCACUAACAUUGUAAGCGGGAGGGGAGCCUUAGGAAGAGAGUGGGACGGUGAGGGGUGCACUGGCUGGAGGCGCCCAGCAGUUCUGGGCCCCAGCGUCCUUCUCUGCCCUCCCUGCCCUUGACUCUGCUCCUAGGAGGAAGC